rnacentral:rRNA from 1 species
AAACGACUCUCGGCAACGGAUAUCUUGGCUCUCGCAUCGAUGAAGAACGUAGCGAAAUGCGAUACUUGGUGUGAAUUGCAGAAUCCCGUGAACCAUCGAGUCUUUGAACGCAAGUUGCGCCCAAAGCCUUUUGGCCAAGGGCACGUCUGCUUGGGUGUCACGCAU